CCUUAGAUUCCUCCUCCUCCUCCUCAUCCCCCUGGCGGCUUUGCUGGCUGCCUCGAAGUGGGCGCUAAAGUGCACGAGUCACCCGUCUCUUGGCUUUCCUCUGGCGCUGCCAGGGAGGCAACGGAGCAAAUUCCUUCGGGAGAAACCCAACGGAAAUCACUAAGAAGAAAAAGAAGAGCCAGGCUGCAUUGAGCUGUGCUGUGAUCAGAACCACCCAGCAAGCCAGAAGCUGACAAGAAAGCACAGAGGACUCUGAGGAGGGACCAGUAUAAAGUCAGGAUUGGGGAGGGAACCCAAGGAUUCUGCUGCCAGUUGGAGAGAAAGGUAACAGCCGCACCUUGAAGACCCACCUUCUGCACCUCUCGACUCAGAUUUAACUUGAACUAACAAACCUGUUAAAUAAAUAAUAGCCCAGAUCAACAGACAAAGCAGGCCUCCCCUGCUCCGCAAAGUCGAGGGCUUCUAACUGUGAGACCCAGUUUUUGCAGCUGAAGAAAAAACUGAUUAGAUUUGCAUACAGCUUGAUCCAUAGAGGUUAAUAAAGUAUGGCCGGUUGAAAGGAAUCAACAUAGCAAGUUCUGGGUAGAGGUGUUCAACUGAAGCAGAAAGUGGUAAAUACCCAACCACAAAAUGGGAUUCCCCUGAAAAAGAGGUAGUUGUGAUGAGCUCUACACUGGCUAAAAGCCACAGGGAGCCAGUCAUGAAUUCCAUGGAAAAUCUGAGUGAGGGGUGUGAAGGAAGAGGCAAAAAGGUUGAAGUGGACCAAUAGACAUGAAGGAAGACUAGAGGCCACAACGUUUGGAAGACAAUCAAGUGAGCCAAUGCAGGUUGCAGCACCACGGACAGCUCCACAGGACAAGUUGCUCCAACAGCAGUCAGAGCUGAAGAAAAAACUGAUUAGAUUUGCAUACAGCUUGAUCCAUAGAGGUUAAUAAAGUAUGGCCGGUUGAAAGGAAUCAACAUAGCAAGUUCUGGGUAGAGGUGUUCAACUGAAGCAGAAAGUGGUAAAUACCCAACCACAAAAUGGGAUUCCCCUGAAAAAGAGGUAGUUGUGAUGAGCUCUACACUGGCUAAAAGCCACAGGGAGCCAGUCAUGAAUUCCAUGGAAAAUCUGAGUGAGGGGUGUGAAGGAAGAGGCAAAAAGGUUGAAGUGGACCAAUAGACAUGAAGGAAGGUGGGUACAAGGAAUCCCAUGGUCUGGAUAAGCCAAUCAUAAUGGAAAAUAAAACACAUUACUGUAUAUGGUAUUUGAUUCCUGUGGGGUGGGGUUAUAUUAAAGUACCGCAAUGAAGCAUCAGGGUCUGUCUCCUUGGUUGACCCUUGCUACUUUAGCAUGCUCUUUGUCUUGGCCAAUUCUGUCAGUCCAUUCCUUUAAAACGUAAUUGUGUGAUGUUUCAAUCUAUUCUUUUUCUGCACACUGCUGCUUUAAAUUCAACAUGAUGCAAUAAAUGCUACAAAUUUUA